AAAAGCGGCAGGUACUGUAAUCGUUGUAACAGACUUAACAGAAAUCAGUGAACCUUAAAUGUAGGUGUACAUACGGAUCAUACGGAUCGAUACGGAUAUAAUCAUUAUCGAUCAUUAUAUCUCAUAUAGCUGUAUGGCUGUAAUGUUCUAAGUUUGUAAUUUUCCUCCUUGCGAAGCAAAUUCUCAUUUUAUGUAAUCACAAUGUAAAAGAACCUAUUGCAAAAGGAAGAAGAAUUCAACAAAUUAAAUGCAGAACUAGAAUUGAAAACAUAGGAACUAUAUUACUAAAAGAGUUUGAAGGCAUAAUGAAAAAUCAGGAGAGAUUUUCAAAGAACGAGAAUUUCACAUGCAAAAAUGAUCAGCUUCCAGCAAGAUCCAGGCACGGCUUUUAUCUUACUUCAGCUACUGAAUUUAAAUUAUUGAGGUCUUUGUCACAGAUUCUGUUUUUGUUGGCAGUUGUAACACACUGUGUCACUGAAUGAGUCUAGACAAAAGUCAGAUAUCAGUUCCCAUAUAAUUAGCAGUGCCAGAAGUGUCAGAACUGAACCUCCACACUUAAACAAGGUGGAUUCAGUGAGCAGUGUUUAUAUCCCUCACCAUGAAAGAACUGAAGAUGAAAUUCUUCCUGAGGCAAGUUAUGGAAUGGGGGCAGAGAACAUUAUUCUUGUCCUCAGAUCCAAAAUAAAAGGCUUACGGAGCAAGAUGGAAGCAUCGCAUGUUGACCAUAUAAAGAGUGGAAGACUGAGAGAGAAAUGACAGCACAGCAGAGAAACCAUACUUCAUGUCAAAAAACCUGAAGAAAAUUCUUCAUAAAAAGAACAAAUGAAGUUGCGAGAAUGAUAAGCAUACUGCGCUAACUUAGAGAUGUACUUUGGCAUUUUUGAUAUAUUUAUAGAUGUUUACAAUAAUUUCUUUACUAGUCUUCUUCCAUUCUGUUAUGUUUACAUGUUCAGAUGUCACUUGUCAGAAUGUGAUAACCAAUUGUAUGUAACAGACAAUUGCCUACACUCUCAGACAUUAACGCUUUGAAGCCUGAAAUUAACCUAUUCACAGCCGCAAGCGCAUGUACAUACGUGGUGUUAUGAAACUGUCACCAAGAGUGUAUAAAAGUACAAAGGUUACAUCCACACGUUAGUAUUUUAUCUAAAUGGCAACUGUUCAUUUGCUCUACCAUGGCCUUUUGCAAUAACAAGUUACUGUAUACUGAUAUCUGAUUGAGAAAUUUUUGAUCAGUAUCAUUGCGGAUGUGGGGUAAUUUUUGAAAAUUCAGUUCCUCCCUUAGGAAAACCAGUAUGCCUGUGCUACAAAGACGUCUCAGGAAGUAAUUACACUCUGAGAAUCAUAUGAAAUGAAAUGCAGUUUAGUUAAUAUUGAACCACGUGUUACAUAUAGUAACUGCUGUACUUUUAAGGGUUGCUGUCUGUUUGUUAGUUAUGUUGAAGCUGUCAAUCUUAAGAUUUCAAAUAUAAGCUGUUUUAUAAUUUGCAACAGUUUUGCCACAAUUCAUGCCUUCAGAUUUAGAACUGUGUUAUUUUAAGGAUGAUGUUAAGAGGAUUAGAAUAAUGAGAAAGCUUGAAAUAUAUCUCAAGCUCUGCUUAUUUUGAAUCAUUUGGUUUCCACGGUUAACUUUAUUUUAUGACUAUUUUAAUUAACUACGAAACUCCAUUGGUAGUUAAUUAAAAUAGUCAUAAAAUAAAGUUGACUGUUCUCUUCCCUGGACUUGACACACACAGACUGGAGUGGAAAGGCCAGACAGCUGCCUGCAUCUGGCUGUUCCUGCUUAUUAAAUGCUUACAAUUAAUCAGGAGGAUGAACUUAUCAUUAAAACUAUACAAGAUUAUGCCUAAUUUAACACCAGAAAAUAGAGGCUUAAUUUUUUCAUGAUGUCUUCCAAUGGAUGCAAGUAUUUUGAUAUCCAGUCCGCAACAAUUUAAAAAAAAAAUAGUAAUUGCAAAUUAAAGAAAUAAUGCGAUAAAUAAUACAUUUAAAGUAUGUCCAUUGAUCAAAAUGCAGUGUCAUUACAUUUGAAAAUAAAGGAAGCCUCAUCAAUUUCAUCUGCAGCAAAACCAUCAAGCAGCAUGGUCUCGACUUCUUGAGCAGCAGACAUGCGUCUUCUUUUUCCACCGCACGUCUUCAUAGUGGUGAACACAGAAAAAUGGGGCCUCUUAUUUGCCCUCCUGCCUGAUGGUGACGCUGCUUCUGGGGCCAGCUGUGCAUUUGCAGUCAGAAGGCUUUGUAGAUUUCCCAGUCCUGGAUUAAUCAUCUGUUUACAGCCAUCUGUCCCAAAUAUGUCAAGGACCUGCAAUCACAUACAGUACAAUCAGAAAUAUGUACAUUUCCUAGUUGCAUGAGGCCUGAACUAUUUCCACAUCUAAAACUCAAAAGAGUUAUAACAAGUUGCUUGACACGAUGGAUGUCAUGGAGACUACAGCGACAAUGUCACAAAAACAAGAAGCUGAGAUUUUUGUUUGUAUAUAUACUGUUAUUGCAAGUAAUACAAUAAAAUACAACUUUCUAGCCUGGAGACCAAAAUUCUACCGUGUCAUGAAAUGUCCCUUCGAAAGGCUUUUCUGGUUUAAAUCUGUGCCGCCAUAUAAGCUCAGGGAAGCAGGGGAAAGAAAUGCUGAGUUUUGCUUUUCACUAAAUGUGCUCCUGUAGUUGGAUCAACAGAUGAAUGAAAUGGUUGGCAUGAAUAUGUUCAUACCAUUAUUCAGACAGAUUGUUAUAGCCCCUGUCAUCAGGCUGAUAUUACUGUCCUUGCAGAGCACAUAUAUCUCUGCAUCAUAGAUAUUAAUGUUUGUCCAGUGUGACUUGCGGCUGCGAAAAGAAAGUCUUCCUUAAUUUAACAGCAACACCACUAGACUCUGUCCUUACUGAUACAGGCCUGCAGAACCAUGACAA